rnacentral:tRNA from 1 species
GUCUGAGUGGCUCAAUUGGUUAAGCAUCUGACUUUGGCUCAGGUCAUGAUCUUGUGGUUUGUGAGUUCGAGCCCCAUCUCUGCUG